rnacentral:rRNA from 1 species
AGCAAGCAUCGGCUAACUCUGUGCCAGCAGCCGCGGUAAGACAGAGGAUGCGAACGUUGCUCGGAAUUACUGGGCGUAAAGCGCGCGUAGGUGGCCUUGUAAGUCUCGUGUGAAAAGCCCUCUGCUCAACGGAGGAAGUGCACGGGAUACUGCGAGGCUGGAGUACAGAAGAGGACAGCGGAAUUCCCGGUGUAGAUUCUGAUUCAUUUUCAAACAAUCCGAGAUUUCGAAAUUUCAUAACUGUGAACUCAAUUUAAGACAUGUGAUUCUAUUUAGGCGUUAUUUAAGAUGUACAUCAACGCCUAGAUGUAUUAGAAUAAGAACGUAUGCUGUAGUUGUGUUCAACCACCAAAGGAGUUCAGCAUGGCUGACAAUUUUUUGAAUAGUGUUAAGAAGCGCUUCGCCGAAGUGACUUCGCGUGAAGUGAUUUCGCUCGAGCAGUAUCUUGACCGUUGUAAAACCGAUCCGUCGGCAUAUGCCAACGUUUAUCAACGGCU